rnacentral:lncRNA from 1 species
CGGCGCCCGGCUGGGCCGCGGCGGCGCCGGCGCCGUGCUGGCCGGGGCGCGCUCCAGCUUCGCCCAGGAGGGGCUGCGGUGGCUGCGGCAGGACCGGAGCGCCCUCAGCUGGAUGGAGCUGGCCUGCGUCUUCUACUGGUGAGCCUUCGUCUUCAUCCUCAUCUUCAUCUUCAUCUUCAUCCUGACCUUCAUCCUCAUCUUCAUCCUCAUCUUCAUCCUCAUCUUCAUCCUCAUCUUCAUCUUUGUCUUUGUCUGCGUCUUCUACUGGUGAGCCUUCGUCUUCAUCCUCAUCAUCCUCAUCUUCAUCCUCGUCUUCAUCUUCAUCUUUAUCUUUGUCUUUGUCUUUAUCUGCGUCUUCUACUGCUGAGCCUUCAUCACCUUCGUCCUCAUCCUCAUCAUCCUCAUCUUCAUCCUCAUCUUCAUCUUUGUGUUUAUCUGCGUCUUCUACUGGUGAGCCUUCAUCAUCCUCAUCAUCCUCAUCUUCAUCUUCAUCCUCAUCUGCAUCUUCUACUGGUGAGCCUUCAUCACCUUCAUCCUUGUCUUCAUCCUCAUCUUCAUCUUUGUCUUUGCGUCUUCUACUGGUGAGCCUUCCUCAUCCUCAUCAUCCUCAUCUUCAUGCUCAUCUUUGUGUUUAUCUGCGUCUUCUACUGGUGAGCCUUCGUCACCUUCAUCCUCAUCUUCAUCCUCGUCUUCAUAGUCAUCUUCAUCCUCCUCUUCAUCCUCAUCUUCAUCUUCAUCCUCAUCUUCAUCUUUGUCUUUAUCUGCGUCUUCUACUGGUGAGCCUUCGUCACCUUCAUCUUCAUCUUCAUCCUCAUCUUCAUCCUCAUCUUCAUCCUCAUCUUCAUCCUCAUCUUCAUCUUUGUGUUUAUCUGCGUCUUCUACUGGUGAGCCUUCAUCACCUUCAUCUUCUUCAUUCUCCUCAUCUUCAUCUUCAUCUUCAUCUUUAUCUGCGUCUUCUACUGGUGAGCCUUCGUCACCUUCAUCUUCAUCUUCAUCCUCGUCUUCAUCUUCAUCUUUGUCUGCGUCUUCUACUAGUGAGCCUUCAUCGUCCUCAUCAUCCUCCUCUUCAUCCUCCUCUUCAUCCUCAUCUUCAUCCUGACCUUCAUCCUCAUCUUCAUCUUUGUGUUUGUCUGUGUCUUCUACUGGUGAGCCUUUGUCUUCAUCCUCAUCCUCAUCAUCCUCACCUUCAUCCUCAUCUUCAUCUUCAUCUUUGUCUGCGUCUUCUACUGGUGAGCCUUCGUCAUCCUCAUCAUCCUCCUCUUCAUCCUGACCUUCAUCCUCAUCUUCAUCCUCCUCUUCAUCUUUGUGUUUAUCUGCGUCUUCUACUGGUGAGCCUUCGUCACCUUCAUCCUCAUCUUCAUCUUCAUCGUCAUCCUCAUCUUCAUCUCCGUCUUUCUCUUCAUCAUCUUCAUCCCAAACCCCCAAAAAUCCCCUCCCCCACCCUGACCCCUGNNNNNNNNNNNNNNNN